rnacentral:rRNA from 1 species
UACGGAGGGUGCGAGCGUUAAUCGGAAUAACUGGGCGUAAAGGGCAUGUAGGCGGGUCAUUAAGUUAGGUGUGAAAUCCCCGGGCUCAACCUGGGAACUGCACUUAAAACUGGUGGUCUGGAGUAUUGUAGAGGAAGGUAGAAUUCCACGUGUAGCGGUGAAAUGCGUAGAGAUGUGGAGGAAUACCGGUGGCGAAGGCGGCCUUCUGGACAAAUACUGACGCUGAGAUGCGAAAGCGUGGGGAGCAAACAGG